GACGAACGCUGGCGGCGUGCUUAACACAUGCAAGUCGAACGGAAAGGCCCUGCUUUUGUGGGGUGCUCGAGUGGCGAACGGGUGAGUAACACGUGAGUAACCUGCCCUUGACUUUGGGAUAACUUCAGGAAACUGGGGCUAAUACCGGAUAGGAGCUCUUGCUGCAUGGUGGGGGUUGGAAAGUUUCGGCGGUUGGGGAUGGACUCGCGGCUUAUCAGCUUGUUGGGGGGGUAGUGGCUUACCAAGGCUUUGACGGGUAGCCGGCCUGAGAGGUUGACCGGCCACAUUGGGACUGCGCUACGGCCCAGACUCCUACGGGAGGCAGCAGUGGGGAAUAUUGCACAAUGGGCGGGAGCCUGAUGCAGCAACGCCGCGUGCGGGAUGACGGCCUUCGGGUUGUAAACCGCUUUCGCCUGUGACGAGGCGUGAGUGACGGUAAUGGGUAAAGAAGCACCGGCUAACUACGUG
rnacentral:rRNA from 1 species